GACGAACGCUGGCGGCGUGCUUAACACAUGCAAGUCGAACGGAUCAUGGUCUUCGGACCAUGGUUAGUGGCGAACGGGUGAGUAACACGUGGGCAACCUGCCCCUAGCACUGGGAUAACUCCUCGAAAGAGGCGCUAAUACCGGAUACUCACUGCGCUUGGCAUCCAGCGCAGUGGAAAGUUUCUCGGCUAGGGAUGGGCCCGCGGCCUAUCAGCUUGUUGGUGGGGUAACGGCCCACCAAGGCGACGACGGGUAGCCGGCCUGAGAGGGCGACCGGCCACACUGGGACUGAGACACGGCCCAGACUCCUACGGGAGGCAGCAGUGGGGAAUAUUGCGCAAUGGGCGAAAGCCUGACGCAGCAACGCCGCGUGAGGGAUGACGGCCUUCGGGUUGUAAACCUCUUUCAGCAGGGACGAAGCGAAAGUGGCUGUACCUGCAGAAGAAGCGCCGGCUAACUACGUGCCAGCAGCCGCCGUAACAC
rnacentral:rRNA from 1 species